ACUGUGCUGCAUUGAUUUCCAUCCGAGAAGGUCAUCGCCUCGUCACACACGAUCUUUGGCAUAACUUCCACCUUUGUCACCUGGCAACGUCAACACACGAGCUGAAUGUGUCGAGCGAGCUCAGCAGCAGCUAGCAUACAAGCCCGGAAAGUAAACACUUGACUUAUACUGGUGAAAAUAUGGUAAAACAGACAAUUCAGAUAUUUGCUCGUAUAAAGCCCACUCAGAAAGACACCUCGGUGUACUCUGUCAACAGUAAAGAGCAGGCGAGCGCUUCUUUGGAGUUUUUGGUGCCAAAGGACACGGCUGAAGGUUUUGUUAACAACAAGAAGGAGUGCUUCAAAUUCAGGUUCCAAAAAGUAUUUGAUCAGGCAACCAAACAAGAAAAUAUAUUUGAAGACAUCGCCAAACCCGUCACAGACAGUGUAUUGGCGGGCUACAAUGGCACCAUCUUUGCCUAUGGCCAGACAGGUACUGGGAAGACUUUCACCAUCACAGGAGGGGCAGAGCGCUUCUGUGAUCGUGGCAUUAUUCCUCGUACACUUACAUACCUCUACGAGCGCUUCAGUCAGGACAACAAUACUGUGUAUACAACACACAUCUCCUAUCUGGAGAUUUACAAUGAAAUGGGUUAUGACCUUUUGGAUCCCAGACAAGAAGCAUCUCGAUUGGAAGACCUACCAAAAGUUAUAAUCUUGGAAGAUCCUGACCACAACAUUCAUAUCAAGAACCUUUCUAUGCUGCAGUCUGCAAAUGAAGAGGAGGCUCUCAAUCACUUGUUCUUGGGGGACACCAAUCGAAUGAUUGCAGAAAAUCCCAUGAACCAGGCGUCUACACGUUCCCACUGUAUUUUCACCGUGCACUUGUGUAUGCGUGAGCCAGGCUCUGAUACACUACGGCACUCCAAGCUUCACCUGGUGGACCUUGCUGGGUCAGAUCGGGCCAGCAAAACAGGCCUAAAUGGGCUGCUGCUCACUGAGGCCAAAUUCAUCAACCUUUCCCUUCAUUACUUAGAGCAGGUCAUUAUUGCUCUGUCAGAGAGAAAUCGCAGCCAUAUUCCGUACAGGAACUCCAUGUUGACGUCGGUGCUGAGAGAUAGCCUUGGAGGCAACUGUAUGACCUCUAUGAUUGCCACUGUGUCAGUUGACAAGAGCAAUAUUGAUGAGUCCAUCUCUACAUGCCGCUUUGCUCAGCGGGUGGCACUCAUCAAAAAUGAGGCCGUAUUGAAUGAAGAACUUGAUCCUGCCUUGUUAAUAGCUCGCCUGAAGCAGGAGGUUCAAUCUUUGAAAGAGGAGCUGUCCAUGCUGACGGGGGAAGAGAGAAAUGACAAGCUAGCUGUAGAGGAGAUCCAGAAGUUGGAGGAGUUGGUCACAGCCUUUCUACAUGAUCCUGGUCCAGACAUAUCACUGUCUGUCGGACCAGAUAUGAGAAAAAUCCAAUACUGUUUCAGCCUGUUGAAGAAAAUGAUUCUGGGCAAAAUAACUGGAAAUGUCAGUAACUGUGAUAUACAGGAGUCACCAGCAGUCAAAGCAGAGGAAAACAACAUUUGUGAGCUCCACAGUGCAAAUGAAAUUGCCCAACUCAAAGAGAUGUUGAUGCAACGCGACAAAGAGAUCAGUAUUCUGGUUAAGAUUUUAAAGAAGGAGAAACAAAAGGCAGAGGAUGCUGCAACUCAGCUCACAGGUAGCACCCACAGAAGAAAGCCUGCCACUGCUAGUGAUUCCAGUUCGUUAGCAAUGCUACUGUUCAAGGAGGGAAACCACCAACCGACCUUGAAUGGUUCUGGAGGACGAGCUAUUCUGUUCAGUAAAAAAGGGCCACAGCUGUCAAUGGGAAAGCAAGAGGCCUUUGAAACCUUUAUCACGGACCAUGAUGACCAUCCCAUCAUUGAAAACAACAGGAGCCUACUCAAAGAGAGGUCUGCACAGGCCAGAAAACUUGGGGACCAACUUCAAGACACCAAACAAAAAAUUAAUGAGUUGAAGAAGCAGAUGGAAAUACAUCGGCGACAGAGAGCAGUUCAUGGUGUGACAGAAAAUCAUCAAAAUGUUGAGAGGGAGCUGGACCCUUUGGAGGAAAACCUGCGCAAAAAUAUUGAGCAAGAAAAAAAGAUUUACAAAAGCACUGUUGGACACCUGAAAACAUUGAAAACAGAGAUUGAGCAUCUGCAGCUGUUGUUGGAGAAGGCAAAGGUCAAGCUCCAGAAGGACUUCCGAAUGUGGUGGAACAAGGAGACUUCCAAUGUGCAGGAAACCAAAUCUAGAAGCCCAACAACAUCUCUGUGUGGAACCUUGCAGCCAUCCUCACCUGGCACUCCAGACUUUGAAUACACGUCAGCCAUACCUGGACUUCAGACCUCUGUCAGACCUGGCCCAGCGGACAAAGACUGUUCAAAUUCUUCGGAAUUCCCAAGGCAGCAUGGCCUGAUAAAACACAGGAGGACGUGUCUGAAUUCGCUCCUUCGUCACAGUGGAGAUCCCUUUCCAAAUCUUCACCGUCACUCUCUUCUAUCCCACUGACUGGAGACCACCAGGCUGAUGCAGAUAUCCUGGCCUUCAUUAGAGCUCGGCAAAACCUCCUCAACAGAGCAGGUGCUCCUCAACAAUAACGCCACUGGGCCCUUCCAAUGCACAAGCUGUUUAUCCAUAUAUGUACACAUCUUGGAGAUUGUAGAUGUUAUGUUGCUCAAUGAUGGAGAACAACAACUGGGUCCAAAUCAUACUUAAGGCCUCUGCCAGCACACAUCCUGCCAGAGAUGCCGCUUCUGUAACCAUAAGCAGCAACCUAGUAUAAAUCAAACUGUGUCAUCCAUUUGAUCUGAACAAAUGUUGUUUUAAGAUAUCAGAGGCAGGACAACAAGCGGAAGCCAGCUGGCUCCUUUAAUGCUGUGAGUCAUUCUUCAAAGUUUGCAUGUGCAAGAACAUGAAUGCAUUUCAUUUUACUGUUGAAUAUGAGCGUUUUACAUGUGGCACACUGUCACAGGCUAUAAAUAUAAAUUGUUAUGAAUAUAUGUGCAAUAAAAAAGGUAUUUUUAUAUCCCCGUCUGCAGCAUUGCACAGUAGAUACUGUAAAUACAUUGUCUACUAGUAUUUUUUUUUAAAACAACAGCUGCAACCAUAAUAAUAAACAUAUUGUUGAAUCUUUGCAAAAUUUAAGUAUGGCUCCAAAGGUUUUUUUUGCAUAAAAUGGUUGUUUUAUCAAACUACAAAGACAAGCAACACAAACUACAAUAACCAGCCCUGUGAAUAGAACCCCACUACGUUUCUGACAGGUAUGAACUACCCCUAGUUGUGCUAUUUAUCCUUUCACUUUACUGCUGUAAUGCACAUUCCACCCCACCAAUGUAGAUCCAUCCCGUGCUGCUCUUUCUGAGCUCCUGACUGCAGCACUGCGUCCAUCAGCAUCUGCAUGUCAUCAAUUGGAACUAUCUAGUCCCCUCAGAGCCAUCACUUAACGCCCACCUCUAAAAGAAUGAGCAAGCAUAUGCAACCUAUUUGCAUGGCUUUGCAUUGAUUUGUUUGACAGAUGACAAGCAGCUGCAGCAAUUUGCAUCCUGCCUGAGUUGCCUUGGAGAAAAUCUUCUUCAAGUAAGUCAACCCAUUGGUUUAAUUUGUUUUGAUUGUUUUCUUCAAGACGUGCGUGAUCAAAGUGACAUUUUUU